rfam:Triticum aestivum genome assembly, contig: Triticum_aestivum_CS42_TGACv1_scaffold_328094_4BS
UGUUUACUCCCUCUGUCCGAAAAUACUUGUCAUCAAAAUGGAUAAAAAGAGAUGUAUCUAAAACUACAAUACGUCUAGAUACAUUUCCUUUUAUCCAUUUUGAUGACAAGUAUUUCCGGACGGAGGGAGUAUUUG